GUCCACGCCUUAAACGAUGUGUGCUAGUUGUCGGAGUCUACGAUUCCGGUGACGCAGGGAAACCUUUAAGCACACCGCCUGGGGAGUACGGUCGCAAGAUUAAAACUCAAAGGAAUUGACGGGGACCCGCACAAGCGGUGGAGCAUGUUGUUUAAUUCGAAGCAACGCGAAGAACCUUACCCACUCUUGACAUACCUAGUAUGACUUUCAGAGAUGAUUGUCUUCAGUUCGGCUGGCUAGGAUACAGGUGCUGCAUGGCUGUCGU
rnacentral:rRNA from 1 species